ACAUCAGGACAAGAUCCCUAAGGAGACUGCAAAGGAGAAAAAUAGGGAGCGUAAGAUGACAAAAGUCAAGAGAAGUAACAAUUUGAAAUAGGAACAAGUGGUCAACAGUAUAAAGAUACUGUUCAGAAGUUAGAUGAGAAUUCUCAAAUGCCCACUGGACUUAGUGAUAGAGAAGCCUUUUGUGAACAUAUAUUUUUUAUCAAUUUUAAGCAAUCUUAUCUCCUACCACAAAAUAUUUGAAUAAAAUGGAAAAUAAUUUUGAUAUGGAAUAGCUUAUUUUAUCACAAAGCUAUUUUAUGUAUUCACUUAAAUUUCCAAAUAUUUAACAUUUUCCAUGUUAUGUAUAUUUAUUCACUUAAAAGAAGUAUGAUAUUUUCGUGGUCAGACAUCCUGAGUUCAAGACAUACAGGAUUACCUAAUUCAUUAUUUUAGUGCUUAUCUUAGAGAUUUUAUAUUGUAUAACACUAAGCUCUAUGGUUGGAUGCCAAAAAGGUAUGGUUUUUUAGGAGCGUUCAUUCUUUGACCACUGAAGUAUCAUCCAUCCAUCCCAGGUCCAACACCUCUCCACCUGGCCACACAGGCUUGCUCAUUGGAGAGCACCAUCUGCCUACUUUCUUUCAAAGCUGAUUACACACUUUCUGAAAAAAGAGGCUGGAUACCGAUCCACUUUGCCGCUUUCUGUGAUAAUAUCUGCAUCAUCAUUGUUCUCUACAGGAAGGAUCCUAGUUUGCUAGAAGAGGAGGCAACCGCUGAGAACCAGUGUACUCCACUGUUACUUGCCACCACUUCAGGAGUUCUGGACACUAUUCUAUACCUAUUUUCUCUUGGGGCUAACUGGAGAAAAACAGACACUAAAGGAAACAAUAUAAUUCAUUUGUCAGUGCUAACCUUUCACACAGAGGUACUUAAGCAUAUAAUAGAAUUAAACAUUCCUGAACUCCCAGUUUGGAAAACUUUGGUAGAAACGAAAUGAACCGCUCUAUUACCUGUUAUGGCAACUACAGCUUGUAUUUUUCUAUUGAAUGCUAACA